GGUUUCCCUUCCCUACCCUCCCCUCCCCGAGUUUAGUUGCCUAUAGUUUUGGGUUUGAUUGUUUUGUUUUGCAGAUCUUAAAGUUUUAAUGGUGUUUUGGAGAAGAUCUGUUAAAGGAAGCUGUGGUUUGAAGUCUGCUGGGCUGCUUCCUUGGUUUAUGUUAAGGUCCUCGGCUUGGUGGAAUGCAUCCGUCUCUGGGAGAGGUCAAGGGAAGGGGCCUCGGGGAUCUGAAGAGCUGGUCUUUUCUAACGUUUUUGCUGGCUGCCUAUGUCAAGAUGAGAUGGAGAAACUAUGGCCCUGCCUCCCUUCUAGUCACUAUGGCUAUGGCUGGUAUGGCCUUGUCUUUUGGCUUUAGCAGAAGGUCUUCCCUUUCUUGAUUUUCAGUGGAUUGCUCCAGUCCGGUUCCCAACGACGAUGUUGUGCAAGUUGCUUCCUGAGGUGUUCUGCUUAAGAGAAUUAGGUAUAGGGAUUGGCCGGUAAGGGCUCAGGGCUUUCUUGUUGGACUUCUGUUUUGGGCUAGAACUUGUCUUUGAAUUCCAGGUGUUGAGUCUUGAUUUGUA
rnacentral:misc_RNA from 1 species